AUAAAAUAAAUUUUACAAAAUUUUGUUGAUUCAUUAACUUCAGCAGGGUGCCAGAUUGAGCAUCUACAUGGAAACAGCCAUGGCUCUGACCUGCAUUGUAAACUGUCUGUAAUUUAACAGUGAGUGAAGCUUAGGGGGAGCAAUUGCUUCAAAUGUUUGCUGCCAUUAGCUUAAGGGAGAGGAAAUGAGAUGAAUCCAGAAGUUUUCAUUUCCAAGCGAAGCAUGUCAGACAGCACAGCACAAGACCUUUUUAAAUUGCAAUAUGGCAUCAUAUUAAACAGAGCUUGUCUGUGUUUCCUUUGGCUUUCCAUCAGUUUACAUUUUUUCUUAGAUGUAGUAGUAGCAAAUCUCAGAGCUUUUUCCCCAUUUUCCAUAAUGCAAAAUUAAUAUGUGACUAUCUGUGGGUCUAUAGCUCUCAGCUGACCCACUGCUGCUCAUCUCAGAAGUACCAGUGGUGAACUUAAAUGGAGACAUGGUGUGAAGGGACUUCUAUCAGAAUGUUUUACUGCUGUUAAUGAAAUAAGAGAAUAGUAAUUAAUGUGAAAUGAUGCCUGAAAUUGAGUGGCAAGCUCUAGCAGGUACUGAUGGCCUAGACAGUUAUACAGGCCAGCAGCAGAGCAUCUGGAUGGGCCUGGGUUCCAGCGGGGUGUUUGGGCUGUGCCUCUGCAGUAUCACCAACACGAGGGAGGUGGCUGGGGCUGGGCUGCCUGAGCAGGGAUAGGGAAUGCCAGGGCUGGGCUUGGGAGGGCAGGCUGGGGCAGCAGGGCCUUGAGGUCUGAUCCUGCCUGUCUGGGGGAUAAGGAGGGGCAAGAGGUACCUACUGAGCUGGUGGCUGGAUAGGAGGCUCGAGGAAAAGAAGGGAUCUUGCUGGAGACAGCAUUAACCAUCAGACAAGAAAUGGCCUGUGAUUUUAAUUGCUGAUUCCCAGGCAUAAGUGGUUUCUUACUCUGGGAAGUGAGGAUGUGAACAUUUAGAUUAAAAGAGCAGGGGGUUUGUGACACUGGGGAUGAGAGACUGAUAUGCUGCUGCAAGGGCAUCCAGGCAUGAGGCCAUGCAUCCCUGGAAGUGAGCUCCUCCUGUGCAGCCUGAGGCUGCCAGUGCUGCCAUCCCUCACCUUCCUGAGAGGUGACAGCUUUUGGGGCUGGCAGGGAAACUGCACUGGGAUGGGCUGUCAAAGCUGCCUGCAAGGAAGUCACCAGAAUGGUGACUGUCCCUUGGAGCUGGAUCCUGUGGGCAGUUAGCACAGAGAGUUGGCCUCUGGAAAUAUGAGAUUUUGAUGAUUCCUGCAACUUAAAAGACUUCCUAUUGAGAUGGUUGUGAUGAGCCUUUGUCUUGAAGGGCUUCACUGCUAGGGAGAGGAGGGAGGUGGGUGCUUUUGUUGGCCAAGGAUGGUAUGGUUAGAGAUGAUUCCACUUCUGACAUUCUUUUUGUCAAGCUUAGAUUCCGUCUGGCAGGGAGAGAAACAGGGGAGGUGUUUGUGAUGUGUCAAGUGCUAUUUGCAUGUCAAACAGUGGUGUUCUGGCUGGGGUGGUUCAAGGGUUCUUGGGAUCCUCCACCAGCUCACAGGGUACUGCAAGGGAAUGAGAACAAGUUUUCAGACGUACAAAGUGGGAUUCAUCUUGUUGAACUUCAGUGAGUCAUCUCAUCCUAAGGCCAGCAUGUAAAUUGGUUCAGAGGGAGGGGAGCUGCCUCCCACCAGCCUGUGGAAGUGACCUGUUGAGUGUCUUCAUCCUGCUGCUGUAGAUAUCUCAGAUAUGCCAACAAAAUACAUCACUCUAUUUUA